rnacentral:rRNA from 1 species
GGGUUGUGAGGUUAAGCGACUAAGCGUACACGGUGGAUGCCCUGGCAGUCAGAGGCGAUGAAGGACGUGCUAAUCUGCGAUAAGCGUCGGUAAGGUGAUAUGAACCGUUAUAACCGGCGAUUUCCGAAUGGGGAAACCCAGUGUGAUUCGUCACACUAUCAUUAACUGAAUCCAUAGGUUAAUGAGGCGAACCGGGGGAACUGAAACAUCUAAGUACCCCGAGGAAAAGAAAUCAACCGAGAUUCCCCCAGUAGCGGCGAGCGAACGGGGAGCAGCCCAGAGCCUGAAUCAGUGUGUGUGUUAGUGGAAGCAUCUGGAAAGGCGCGCGAUACAGGGUGACAGCCCCGUACACAAAAAUGCACAUGCUGUGAGCUCGAUGAGUAGGGCGGGACACGUGGUAUCCUGUCUGAAUAUGGGGGGACCAUCCUCCAAGGCUAAAUACUCCUGACUGACCGAUAGUGAACCAGUACCGUGAGGGAAAGGCGAAAAGAACCCCGGCGAGGGGAGUGAAAAAGAACCUGAAACCGUGUACGUACAAGCAGUGGGAGCACGCUUAGGCGUGUGACUGCGUACCUUUUGUAUAAUGGGUCAGCGACUUAUAUUCUGUAGCAAGGUUAACCGAAUAGGGGAGCCGAAGGGAAACCGAGUCUUAACUGGGCGUUAAGUUGCAGGGUAUAGACCCGAAACCCGGUGAUCUAGCCAUGGGCAGGUUGAAGGUUGGGUAACACUAACUGGAGGACCGAACCGACUAAUGUUGAAAAAUUAGCGGAUGACUUGUGGCUGGGGGUGAAAGGCCAAUCAAACCGGGAGAUAGCUGGUUCUCCCCGAAAGCUAUUUAGGUAGCGCCUCGUGAAUUCAUCUCCGGGGGU